rnacentral:lncRNA from 1 species
GAGGCCACCGGUGUUGGGUUACAUUUUGUUAGCAGUUAUCCCUUUAUCAUCUUUUGUAUUUGAUGAUUCAAGAUGUUAAUGUAUAAAGCAAGGAAAAGAAUGUAAAGCCUAUUUUGAGGUAUAUGUGAUGUAAGAAUGAAAUGAUGGAGUGAUGUAAUGAAAUGUAAAGGAUCCAAAAUGAAAGCUAUGAAUGCAAUGUAUAUGAUCUAAAAUGAAUCAUGUUACAUGUGUAGAUGUUUAGUUUUCCUUUCUUUCACUAAUGGCUAUUGCUU